AGGACAACAUGAGCACAAUAAAUGACAUUGUGACAAGAAAGGCGUAUAUCUUCCCCACAUCCAUCACAAUUUCUUGUCCACCAGAAGAAAAGUUAGUCAACAUCAAACAACUUCAACAACUCCAACAUAUGCAACGACACUUCUGGACAAGAGCAAAUGUCACAUUGGCUGAAAUAAACCAACCACUAUGGUAUCUAUCAUGUGACAAUUGCAACAAAUUUGCAAUUGGAGCUGUGAACAAAACUUAUUUCUGUAGAUUCUGCAGGCACAACUACGCUACACCGACUCCAAGGUCAGAUUAUAUUCAGGUCACAAGUACAUCAUCUAUGUGAAUAGAUGCAUUAUUCAUCAUCUAAUGAUAAUCAAAUACAUCCCAAAACAAUGGCAAUGAUUCCACUUAUACUCUAACAAAGCAAGAGCAAUCGUUCAACUACAAGACUCCACAGGAUCAAUCACAGCAUCAAUUAUUGGAAAACCAGCUGAAACAUUCCUCAAAUGCCCAGCAACGAAACUGAUGAAACAAGAUUCCGAGCAAGAACAUACGGAAAGCAGCUAUACAAUACCACCACCAACUGCAAAUAAGCACAUCAUAUACAUCAAAGUUGUAAAUAUGGAGACAGCCACCAACAAGGCACCAUAUGAAAUCAUCUUCAUCAUUGACUCACACCUCCAAGAUGAAGACCAGUUACUCACCAACAUCAUACAACCAGGCACUUCACAUGAAGCUCACAACCAUGCAAACAAAGAACAAAAGCAAGAGUAGUUGUUCAACAUGUAAAAAUACAUAUUUUGUAUUUCUUUUGCACGCUUAUGUCCACAGUCGAGCAAACUUGAUUCUCAGUAUCUCUAUUUGCUACACUAAAUUUUGUUCGUUGUCCAUAUUAACAUGUUAGAAACCAUGUACCCAUGAACGACAUGUAACAUCUUUGUGUAUGGCAACUAAGAACUCUGUUUUCUACUUCAUAUUACUUUUGCCAAUGUAACUACUUGUGGACAAAUAUUUUUUAUAAUCUAAUGUAGUCAUCUUUCUAGCUUGAUCUUAUUUUCUAUUAAGAUGCCACAUGAUCAAAUUUCAACAUU